ensembl:lncRNA
CUACAAUUACAUGAAAUAGCUCAUUCUGAUAUAAAACUUUCAUAGUUUGAAAUGUUUGGAGUAGGAAUUGAAGUUUGCUGUAUGUCUUACAAAUCUAUUUACAAAAGUGCUUUUUCUGUUGCUGUGAUAAAACACAAUGUCUAAGGCAGCUUAUAAAAGAGAUUAAUUUGGCUUAUGGUUCCAGAAAGGUAUGGGAUCACCAUGACAGUCAUGAAAUGUCACACAUGGCAGCUAAAGCAGGGUGAUCAGAGCUCACAUCCUCAUCCUAAAGCAUGAAGCAGAGAGUGUACACUAGAAAUGGUGUAUAGAUGUAAAUUCUCAAACCUACCCCAAGUGACAUAUUGCCUCCAACAGGACAGCAUUUUUUUAAGUCUUCCAGAAGGAUACUACCAGCUGAGGAUUGUACUUCAACCGUACACACUUGCUUUCUGUUACAUGAACCAAUUUAUGGUGAAGAAAAGCUUUAGAGAGAAGCCUGGCAUAACUGUCCUCUAAGAGGCUACACCCAGCAGCCAAUGGAAGGAAGUGUAGAGACCCACAGUGAAACAUUAGAUGGAGCCUGGGGACUCUUACUGAAGAGCUGGGAAAAGGAUUGAAGGACCAGAAAAGGACAGGGAUUCCACAAGAAAACCAAGAGAGACAAGAUACUGAAUACACCUGGGCUCCCAGAGACUGCAUUACCAAAGAGUGAGCGCCUGCUGGACCUAG